rnacentral:lncRNA from 1 species
GGCCUGUGCGCCUUGUGGGGCCAGAGGCCAGAGGGGCUGGCAGGUUGACCCGGGGCCCCGCGGCCUCCUGCCGGAGCGCAAUCCUCAGACCAUCAGACCCGGUGGAGCCUUCCCUUGCUGCACCCAAGAUCCUCUGGUGGCUGACAGCACAAAAAUGGCCGUUGACAGCAACACGCCCCUGGAAGUCCCUGACAUGCUGGCCUGAUCCCCGGUCCUCGCUACACACCCUGCUGAGGAAACCAAGGCAGUUUAUCUGGAGUUAGAUCUGCUGCUUCCUGGCUGUGUGACCUUGGCUGCUGUCUAAGGAAGGGUCAGAGAGGCGCAGCAACUUGUCCGGAGUCCCACAGCUCCAAGAGUGAGGCGGCGUUUGGACCUGACCUUGCCAGGCUGCAGCCCGUCUCGGCCCCCGACCCCUGGCUGCCUGAGAGUCCAAGAUGGCUCCUGGAGCUCCAGCCAUCACAUCUGCAUUCCAGACAGCAGGAAGGAAAGAAACCAUCUUUUAACUGAAUCGUCCUCAUUUAUGGGGCCUUCCUGGAAGUUCCACCACACAGUUUUGCCUUCAUCUCACUGGCAAGAUUUAGCCACACAGCCACAGCCAACUGUAGGGGAGGCUGGGGAAUGUCACCCAGCUAAAAACUUUGAUGCUGUGGCUAAAGAAGGAGGGGAGGGUGGACAUUUAGAAGAUAAUUAUCAGCCCUGGCCUGAAGCCUUCCUGGGGGGUGCCGGGGAGGGCUCAUCCAAGGUCACACUCCUGGUCAGUAAGGGGACAGGGUUUGAACCCACCACAGCCAGGUGUCUCAGCUUUUGCUACGUUUGCUAAUUGUCCUCUGAGAAAAAUCAAAAGAUUUUAUUUAAAAUGUUCUUUUUAUGUUUUUUCUGCUCAGAUAAGCCUGGGGAACAUUGGGGAAACAAAGGGACAGAGGUUUCCUUGCUCCGGGACUGUCCCAAGCAAAUCAAGAGGCUACAGAUAAGAGGCCCUAAUCCAAAAUGGCUUCUCUGGGGGCGGCCUGGUUAGUCGCAGCACAGGGAGACACAGAUGGUGGCGUCAGGGCGGGCGGAUCCAGCAGCCUACUGAG